GAUGAACGCUGGCUACAGGCUUAACACAUGCAAGUCGAGGGGAAACGACGGGGAAGCUUGCUUCCCCGGGCGUCGACCGGCGCACGGGUGAGUAACGCGUAUCCAACCUGCCUCUGACUGAGGGAUAACCCGUCGAAAGUCGGCCUAAUACCUCAUGGUAUCGUCUGCGGGCAUCCAACGACGAUUAAAGAUUUCAUCGGUCAGGGAUGGGGAUGCGUCUGAUUAGCUUGUUGGCGGGGUAACGGCCCACCAAGGCUACGAUCAGUAGGGGUUCUGAGAGGAAGGUCCCCCACAUUGGAACUGAGACACGGUCCAAACUCCUACGGGAGGCAGCAGUGAGGAAUAUUGGUCAAUGGGCGAGAGCCUGAACCAGCCAAGUAGCGUGCAGGAAGACGGCCCUAUGGGUUGGAAACUGCUUUAUGCGGGGAUAAAGUGAGGGACGUGUCCCUCAUUGCAGGUACCGCAUGAAUAAGGACCGGCUAAUUCCGUG
rnacentral:rRNA from 1 species